rnacentral:sRNA from 2 species
UGCAUCUGAAGCCUGACGAGGAUGAGAACCUCCGGGGGCAAGAGGUUCGACCCGAGCGAAGCGAGAGAACGUUGCGCCAGCAACGGCCCGCAGGGCGAGCCACGCAGUGGCGAGUCAUCCUCUAUCACCGGCAG